GCGAGCGGGGCUUGCGCCGAAUCACGAUCUCGACAUCCUGGUCGACGGCCGUCAACAGGUUCAUCAACCGUUCGACAGAGAAGCCGGCCAGCUUGUAGUGCAGAAGCGCAGACACCUUGGGCUGCGUGACUCCCAGCACCUUGGCGGCUUCAGCCUGCGAGAGCUUGCGUUCUUCAAGCACCUGGUUCAGGGCAUACGCCAGACGCAGCUUGGCCUGGCGCUCGGCAGCAU
rnacentral:misc_RNA from 1 species